UACAGAGGUCCCAAGCGUUGUUCGGAUUCAUUGGGCGUAAAGGGUGUGUAGGUGGCGCGCUAAGUCGGGUGUGAAAUUUCGGAGCUUAACUCCGAAACUGCAUUCGAUACUGCGGUGCUUGAGGACUGGAGAGGAGACUGGAAUUCAUGGUGUAGCAGUGAAAUGCGUAGAGAUCAUGAGGAAGACCAGUGGCGAAGGCGGGUCUCUGGACAGUUCCUGACACUGAGACACGAAGGCCAGGGGAGCAAACGGG
rnacentral:rRNA from 1 species